CCUACGGGAGGCAGCAGUGAGGAAUAUUGGUCAAUGGGGGGAACCCUGAUGCAGCGACGCCGCGUGUGGGAAGACGGUCCUCUGCGUUGUAGACCACUGUCGCCGGGGGCGAAAAGGCCGGAACCUGGGGCGGAAGCUCCGGCCAACUCCGUGCCAGCAGCCGAGGUAAUAGGUAGGGAGCGAGCUUUGUCCGGAAUGACUGGGGGUAAAGGGUGCGUAGGCGGGACUGCAAGCUGGGGGUCAAAUCUAAGGGCUCAACCGGGUGCCGCACUCGAAACUGCGGUGCUUGAGUGAAGUAGAGGCAGGCGGAAUGCGUGGUGUAGCGGUGAAAUGCGUAGAUAUUAGGAGGAACACCGGUGGCGAAGGCGGCCUGCUGGGCUUUUACUGACGCUGAGGCUCGAAAGUGUGGGGAGCAAACAGGAUUAGAUACCCUAGUAGUC
rnacentral:rRNA from 1 species